CCAGAGCACAAGCCGCUGAGUGAGCCGCUGUUCAUGGUACAUCCAACUUCUUGAGGAUGGGGUUCCUGUGCUCGUUGUUGAGGUGAUCGGACUUUGAUCUCUUGCUGCUGCCUGCUGGGUAAAUGCUGUAGCAUUGAUGAAGAGACAAGACCAAGUCCCUUGGAGACAGUUUUCUGGAGUUUAACACAUCACUGGCAAUUGGCAUUGCUGACAACACAGCUCACUCGGUAAGCACUUUAUAUUAUGUUCUGAUUUGAGCCCAACAAUGAAAGUCGUGUUCCAGAUUUUGAAACAAUAUUUGUACAUAAUUUUGUAUGCAUGUACAAUUGUUCUGUAAAAUCUGGAGCAUGGCUAAUCAGGCUCCACUCUUGAGGAUGACGAGAGCAUGCUGGAUGAAACGUCAAGCACACACUCUACAGUUCUUAUCAGAACCGUACCUCUUUCAAGGGAGAUCUAUCCACAUGAUGUAACCACAAGCCCUGUUUUUAUUCUCCACCAUGUAAAGCAUCAAGUCUUAUUUAAUGAAAGUGAAUACUUAGGGCAGUUAUGCUUCCUGGUUUCCCAUUUGUAAUUGGAUGGUUUUGAAGCAAAUUUGGCUCUAUAUAAGGCCUAAUCCAAACUAAGCUUUUGCCUGUGACUGUAGGGUUGGUGAAAAUCAACUGAUCUUGUUGUCAUUUUGUUGAACAUAUCCACUGAAGAAUGUUUCAUUCUGAUAUUCCUACAUUCAAGAGAACUAUACACAAACGAAGGAGAAAGCUUGGGUCAGUCAUUUGGUUUGCUAGUAAUCCUCUCCCUCUUGUACUUGUUAGUCAAUCUGUUAUAGUAGUUAGUUUGGCCUGUGUAUAUGACGAUAGUCUUCAAAUGGUCAAAAGGUUUACCUUGGUUAAUCGUGAUGGGUACCAUCUCUUCAAUUCUUAUUUAUUUGACCAUCACAAGAACAAGCAAAGCAAAAUUAAACAAAAUUUAUGUAAAAACAACAAAAGCACAAAUACAAGUAAAUAUAAGCAGUAGCAGGGACCAGGGAUAAACAUCCGAAUACAUAACGAGACAAAUAUCAGUCAUGUGGGUCAUCAGGGACUGCAAAAGUAAAAUAAACUACUAUUACCCCCGUUUAUGGUCAUAUCGUUAACAAGACAAAUUAACCAGAGCAAAGGAAACAGUAGUCUCCACACAGGUGAUCGAAAUGACAGCC